AAACUUUCUUUUUCUGAGUUCACUUACCUCUGUUUACCUUUGUGAUCUACAGAGCCAGCUGAGAGUCUGUCAAGGGGAGACCCAAAACCAGAGAAACUCCUUUUCUUCUUUGUCUCAAUCACAUCAUUUUCUAGGGACACCAAUUCAUCAAGAAGCAAGAGUUUUGCUGUCAGGUCAGUGGCUGAUUUCUCUUCCCUGACUGUGGGUGUUGACUGCACAUCUAUGACUCCAGAAUCAAAGGCCUAUA
rnacentral:lncRNA from 1 species